UUUGAGUGAGUGGCGAACUGGUGAGUAACACGUGGGAAACCUGCCCAGAAGCGGGGGAUAACACCUGGAAACAGAUGCUAAUACCGCAUAACAACUUGGACCGCAUGGUCCGAGCUUGAAAGAUGGCUUCGGCUAUCACUUUUGGAUGGUCCCGCGGCGUAUUAGCUAGAUGGUGGGGUAACGGCUCACCAUGGCAAUGAUACGUAGCCGACCUGAGAGGGUAAUCGGCCACAUUGGGACUGAGACACGGCCCAAACUCCUACGGGAGGCAGCAGUAGGGAAUCUUCCACAAUGGACGAAAGUCUGAUGGAGCAACGCCGCGUGAGUGAAGAAGGGUUUCGGCUCGUAAAACUCUGUUGUUAAAGAAGAACAUAUCUGAGAGUAACUGUUCAGGUAUUGACGGUAUUUAACCAGAAAGCCACGGCUAACUACGUGCCAGCAGCCGCGGUAAUACGUAGGUGGCAAGCGUUGUCCGGAUUUAUUGGGCGUAAAGCGAGCGCAGGCGGUUUUUUAAGUCUGAUGUGAAAGCCUUCGGCUCAACCGAAGAAGUGCAUCGGAAACUGGGAAACUUGAGUGCAGAAGAGGACAGUGGAACUCCAUGUGUAGCGGUGAAAUGCGUAGAUAUAUGGAAGAACACCAGUGGCGAAGGCGGCUGUCUGGUCUGUAACUGACGCUGAGGCUCGAAAGUAUGGGUAGCAAACAGGAUUAGAUACCCUGGUAGUCCAUACCGUAAACGAUGAAUGCUAAGUGUUGGAGGGUUUCCGCCCUUCAGUGCUGCAGCUAACGCAUUAAGCAUUCCGCCUGGGGAGUACGGCCGCAAGGCUGAAACUCAAAGGAAUUGACGGGGGCCCGCACAAGCGGUGGAGCAUGUGGUUUAAUUCGAAGCUACGCGAAGAACCUUACCAGGUCUUGACAUACUAUGCAAAUCUAAGAGAUUAGACGUUCCCUUCGGGGACAUGGAUACAGGUGGUGCAUGGUUGUCGUCAGCUCGUGUCGUGAGAUGUUGGGUUAAGUCCCGCAACGAGCGCAACCCUUAUUAUCAGUUGCCAGCAUUAAGUUGGGCACUCUGGUGAGACUGCCGGUGACAAACCGGAGGAAGGUGGGGAUGACGUCAAAUCAUCAUGCCCCUUAUGACCUGGGCUACACACGUGCUACAAUGGAUGGUACAACGAGUUGCGAACUCGCGAGAGUAAGCUAAUCUCUUAAAGCCAUUCUCAGUUCGGAUUGUAGGCUGCAACUCGCCUACAUGAAGUCGGAAUCGCUAGUAAUCGCGGAUCAGCAUGCCGCGGUGAAUACGUUCCCGGGCCUUGUACACACCGCCCGUCAC
rnacentral:rRNA from 1 species